rnacentral:lncRNA from 1 species
UUUUUCUUUGCUUCGCCUUGAGAUGCAUUUGAUUGUCCUCCCUGGUCUUCAACAGUCAUGUUUGCUCUAUUUCCCCCUUGUGAAAAAUUCUGAUUCUGGUUGUAAUUCUGAUUGUAUCUUCCCCCUGUUCGGCCUCUAACACCUCGGUAACCACGUCUGCCUGGUCUGCCUCCUCUAUAACCUCCCUUGACUUGACGUGGUGGAGCAGGACAUUGCCAACUAAGAUGCCCUUGCAGCCCACAAUUGUAACAGCCUCUAGUUUCGGGUUUCUCAGACACAAAGUAUGUGGGUCUAGGGGCAGAUUCUCCUUUUCCAGUGCUCUUCAACCUUGUUUCCUCUUGACCAAUGGCUGCAAUAGCUUCCUCAAGUGAUGGUAA